GAUGGACGCUGGCGGCGUGCCUAAUACAUGCAAGUCGAGCGAACAGACGAGGAGCUUGCUCCUCUGACGUUAGCGGCGGACGGGUGAGUAACACGUGGAUAACCUACCUAUAAGACUGGGAUAACUUCGGGAAACCGGAGCUAAUACCGGAUAAUAUAUUGAACCGCAUGGUUCAAUAGUGAAAGACGGUUUUGCUGUCACUUAUAGAUGGAUCCGCGCCGCAUUAGCUAGUUGGUAAGGUAACGGCUUACCAAGGCAACGAUGCGUAGCCGACCUGAGAGGGUGAUCGGCCACACUGGAACUGAGACACGGUCCAGACUCCUACGGGAGGCAGCAGUAGGGAAUCUCCCGCAAUGGGCGAAAGCCUGACGGAGCAACGCCGCGUGAGUGAUGAAGGUCUUCGGAUCGUAAAACUCUGUUAUUAGGGAAGAACAAAUGUGUAAGUAACUAUGCACGUCUUGACGGUACCUAAUCAGAAAGCCACGGCUAACUACGUG
rnacentral:rRNA from 1 species